rnacentral:rRNA from 1 species
GACAGAGGGGGCAAGCGUUGUUCGGAAUUACUGGGCGUAAAGGGCGCGUAGGCGGCCCGCUAAGUCGAACGUGAAAUCCCCAGGCUCAACCUGGGAACUGCGUCCGAUACUGGCAGGCUUGAAUCCGGGAGAGGGAUGUGGAAUUCCAGGUGUAGCGGUGAAAUGCGUAGAUAUCUGGAGGAACACCGGUGGCGAAGGCGGCAUCCUGGACCGGUAUUGACGCUGAGGCGCGAAAGCUAGGGGAGCAAACGGG